CACGGAUACACUGGUCAAUGUGCCGGGCAAACUGCUCACUCACCUGGGCAGCAGGAAGAGAACAGGAAAACUAUGAAGAGAGCGGAGGAGCACAUCCAAAGUUUAACUGAGCAUGAAGAGACAGAAGCACACCUCGGAGAUUUUGCUCGUUUGGCUCCAGGCUCACAAUAAAGUCACACAUGUUUUCUGGUU